GUUCCUGUAGUGUAGCGGUUAUCACUUUUGCCUCACAUGCAAAAGGUCCUCUGUUCGAUACCGGGCAGGAACA